GAAAGAACAAUGUUAAUCAAUGUUAAAUGUAAUUGGCUGAUUGUUUAUUGAGACCAUCUUAGUAUUCCAUUUUUGCCAUUUAGUAUUAUGAUUUUUCUGCUUUAUCCUUGCUGACCAUUUUUCUAUCUGUUCCUGUGUUGCAAAUAGGCUAGAGAAUUUGGUUGAAACCUUGCAAGCAAACUCUUCUUCCAGUAUGUUCUUCACGAGAACUUAUUUGAAGAUGGAAAUCACUUGUACCGCUUCUUGGAUCAUGAUCCUAUUGUGAUGUCUCAAUGUCACAACAUUCCAAGUGUUAUAACAGAAGUAAAGCCAAAGCCGAUAAUAGAAAUUUCAUCAAGGCUUAGAUUUUUGUCGUAUGCAAUCUUUGAAGCUUAUGCAUCGGAAGAUGGAAAACAUGUUGAUUACAGAAGUAUUCAUGGGAGUGAGGAAUUUGCAAGGUAUUUAAGAAUAGUUGAGGAGCUUCAAAGAGUAGAUCUACAGGAUAUGUCAAGGGAGGAGAAGAUGGCUUUUUUUUAUAAAUCUCUUUUGUAUGUUGGCCAUUCACGCAAUUUUGGUUUGGGGUCAUCCUACUGGAGCUCUAGAGCAUAGGAAACUGAUGGGGGAUUUUAAGUAUGUUAUUGGUGGGUGCACCUAUUCGCUUUCAGCAAUUCAAAAUGAAGUUGAACUUGUAAAAAUCAUAUUUCUAUGAUUGAAGAUUUGGUUUUGAACUUUAUUUUAUGGACA